GACAGGCAGCUAGCAGAUAGUGAGGAGAUGUUUUUACAGUUUGGUCAGGGGACAGGCAAUAGCAGAUAGUGAGGAGAUGUUUUUACAGUGUGUUCAGGGACAGGCAGCUAGCAGAUAGUGAGGA